UAAGGAAUAUUGCUUAAUGGGAGAAAUCCUGAAGCAGCAACGCCGCGUGGAGGAUGAAGGGUCUAUGACUUGUAAACUCCUGUAAAGAAGGAAAAAAUUCCCAUUUGAUGGGCGAUGAUGGUACUUCUGGAGUAAGCCCCGGCUAACUACGUGCCAGCAGCCGCGGUAAUACGUAGGUGGCAAGCGUUGUCCGGAUUUACUGGGCGUAAAGGAUGCGUAGGCGGAUACUUAAGUCAGAUGUGAAAAUCCCGGGCUUAACUUGGGAACUGCAUUUGAAACUGGGUAUCUAGAGUGCGGGAGAGGAAAGUGGAAUUCCUAGUGUAGCGGUUAAAUGCGUAGAGAUUAGGAAGAACACCAGUGGCGAAGGCGACUUUCUGGACCGUAACUGACGCUGAGGCAUGAAAGCGUG
rnacentral:rRNA from 1 species